AAGCGCUUGCAGCCAGACGUGCCCGCAGUUGCUCACCCAGGCGCUCGCCUGGGGCACUCUUCUGCGGGCAGGCCAGCAUCAGUUCGGGCGGUUGGAUAAAGGUCACUUUCACGUAACUGUCCUUCGGGAUUGUCCUUAUAGAGGUGACGCAACACGGCCAGCCCGGACUGAGGACCGCGCAUCAGCUAGGAUGCUGGCGUAAUGGCUGUAAGC
rnacentral:rRNA from 1 species